rnacentral:rRNA from 1 species
AUGUCGUACAACAACCAGGAGUUAGUGUGUUGGAAUGUGAGGGGACUCAAUAGCCCCGCUAGAAAGAAGGCUCUUAGGGAAUUUGUAGAAUCUCUAUGGGUAGCUAUCAUUUGUAUCCUAGAAACUAAGUUGGAGACGGUGGAUCAAUUUGUAAUAAUGCAAUGUUUAGGGCUAGUCUAUGAUGGCUUCUACUACUUGCCGGCUUCGAAUACUCGGGGUGGGAUCUUUGUGGCGUGGGAUUCCACGAAGGUGCAAUUGACAAACUUUGUCAACGAUACUAACUUCACAACAGGAUAUGUCUCUCCCUUGGAGGGACCGUCGUGGUGGCUCACAGUGGUGUAUGGACCGCAAGAGGAUGCCCAAAAGAUCAUAUUUUGGAAGAGCUAG